CGGGUUCACGCCUCAGCCUCCAGAGCAGCUGGGACUACAGGCGCCCGCCGCCUCGCCCCGGCUAAUUUUUUUGUUUUUUGUUUGGUAUUUUUAGUAGAGGCGGGGUUUCACUGUGUUAGCCAGGCUGGUCUCAAUCUCCUGACCUCGUGAUCUGCCCGCCUCGGCCUCCCAAAGUGCUGGGAUUACAGGCGUGAGCCACCGAGCCCGGCUGGUUGCCUUCUUAAGACUGCAAAGGGAAUUUGCCAGCUCUGUAGGACAGAAAAUAGCCUGCAAAUCAAUGGAAGAAACCUCUCCUCAUAGUCAGAUACUUUGGAAUCGUCGGCCAGUCCUCCGAAGGCACUGAAAAGCAUCCCUCCUCAGGAAGAUGUGAAACCAAACAUCAUGUCUCCUAGAUGGUAUUAAGGAACUGAAACGUACCAGAUCUCCAUAUCUGGACAAUGAAAUGCCAGACCCCUCACCUGUCCUGAUUGCCUAACUGAUCACCUGCUGUCAGUUGACCAAGUUCUCUUCCUCAUCCUUCCCUAAUUCCUGUAUACCCACACAUAAUUACACCUCUUCCCUGCUAUAUAAACCCUUAAUUUUAGUCCAUUAAGGAGAUGAAUUUGAGACUGAUCUGCAGCACCCAAAUAAAGCCUUCUUCCCCAGCAAUCAUUGUCUCAUUGAUUGAUUUUCUGAGAGGAGAGCAACAGGACUUAGAUCAAACCCCCAGUGUUUUGAUAACAAAUAUACAAUACUGUUAGUUGGCAGUAAUAAUAAACUGUAAGUUGAAAACACCAAGAAAAUCAGCAUGCAUGAUAAUCAGCAUUAUUAUUUAACCAUUCAUAAAUUUUUUUUUGCAGAGUUUUGAUUUUCUUAGAUUCCUAUAAGCAUUAGAGCAAUUAGGUCAUCUCUUUUAAACUAUUUUCUUCUCGUAAGUACAGAUUUACACAAUGACCAAGAAUGUUUGGCAGGGUCUACACUUUUGACUAUAUUAAUAAGUAGGUAUCUUAAUGUGUCACAAAUGUCAGUUAAGAGUAGACUAUUCAUGAGGUCUUUCCUCUUUAGUACUUCCAUUGAUUGCUUCUUUUUGCAGUGUUUUUACAAUAAUUUCUAAACAAACAAUCGAAUGUGCUGUGAAAAUUUCCCAUUUUCAAUUGUAGGACAU
rnacentral:lncRNA from 10 species